AGCAUCAUGUCACUAUUGCCUGCAUAGGCACAUAGGACCAGAGACGGGAAGGUAGACCAUCUCAAUGUACAAGUUCAUGGAGUCUGAAGUGGCUAGGAUAGUAAACUUCAGAAAAGAUGUUUCCAAGCAACUUGUGGAGAUCUUGGAAAUGAAAACAUAGACGUCGUCAUCAUGAAUAGUCCUCCUGAUCCUGAUUGUCACCGAAAAUAAUUCCCAAGACAGCUGAAGAGGCCUUCGGGUUCAGGCUCCGCCCAUCCAUCCAUCUGCCCCACCCUUCAUUCUUGCUUCGUUCCAAAGAAGAGAAGGAAGAAGAGAGAAGGGAUUGAGCAGAGGCCUGGGCACGCAUGGGUCCCCUCUGGCAGUGGGCAGAGUCACAGGGCGGAAGCAAGUUGUCUUUCUUCCUGCCCAGCUUCAAAUGCAGCCGGAGAGAGGAGCUAGCUGGGAACUUGAACAUCUGCAGAAAGCCUGGAUACUUCCUUCUGUCUUUCUUCUCCCCUGUGGCAGUCAGGGCAGGGCUUCCUCUUUGCCUGUGCCUGAGCUUCUGGAUGGGGUCAGAGGCUGAGGACUGAAGGCUGCCCAGUGGUGGUGGUGACAAAGUCAGCACUUCCCUUUGUUAGCCUUUGGAUGCUGUGACAAAGCCCCAGAGACCUGACUUGGAGGAGCAAGGUCAAGGUUGGCUAGAUCCGUUGCUUUUAGGUAUGGGAUGAUGCUAAACAUCAGGACACCUGGACCAUCUGGUAGAGGAUGCUGCUGCCGUUGUGGUAGCUAGGAAACAGGAAGACAGAAGGAAGACAGGAGGCAAGAGCAUGCUCUCUGUGAUCGUCUUCUCCAAGCAGUCUGCAUCUCUGAGCUCCUAACACCUCCCCCUAGUGCUGUUGAAUGAUGGGUAUAUCCAUGCAACCACUGAUUAGGUCAGGGCCUCCAUGGCUUGCUCAUCUCUCAACAGUGUCACCAGCUAGGGUCUGCUCCUUCAAUACUGGGACCUUUCAGAGAGCAUACAUAGUGACCAUCUUAAUACCACCAAAACUUUGCUCUCAUUCCUUCUUGUCUCCAGAGUGCUUGAACCAAAGAGGCAUCAAGGAGUCAUUUCCUGUUACAUAGAAGGGCAUCAUAUUUCCUCAGGAUUUUUCUUUACCCUCAGCUAGUUUUGUAGGCAAAGAUAAUAGCCCUCUGUUUCAUUGAGUGCUUCGAUUUCUUUUUAUAUCAUAAGUAGGUUGCUGACACACUAUGUGUUGACUAAUCAUAUCUUUUCUUUUGUGAAUUACAUUCAUGGCUUUAGCUCACUUUGGAGUUUUAAGUUAGAUUUUAAUGUCUUCAAUAAAAAAUAUACUCAUCUGCAUUAUUUAAGUCAAGCAUCUGUAGACAGAAGAAUUAAGAGAGCAAAAAAAAUGAGGGAGGCGCCUACUUUCAGAGUCCUUUUCUACUAAAGAAAGAUGUAUUUAGUUUCAAUUAUGUGUAUGCGUGAGUGUGCAUCUGUGUGUGGGGGGAGUGUGCACAUGAGUGCAGGUGCCCAAGGAGAUCAGAAGAGGGCGUCAUAUCUCCUUGACUAGAGUUGCAGGCUUUCCUGAGCUACCCAGUGUGGAUGCUGGGAACCAAACUCCAGUCCUCUUCAAGAACAGGAAGUGCUCUUAACCACUGAGCCAUCUCCGUAAACACCAAAAAAACUUUUACCAUAAUACAUUAGCAACAUGUCAUGUUGACAAAUAUUUCCCCUCUGUGCUGUCAUAUUUAAAAUACAAAUGUCCAAGAUGCUUUCCGCAUUUAUUCAAAACUAACCUUCCAUUUUUAUGGAGCUGAGUCUGAGCUGCUCUGCCAUUUUGACCAGAUCAUUUCAUCUAUGCCUACACAUUUCAGUUUCACACAAAAUGUUAAGAGGUGACUCAUUUUAUUUAUUUCUGGUUUUCCUAGGUGUAAAACUUUUAUACAUGUUACCAUUCAACUCAUUUUUAUUUAGUACAUGUGGGGCAAGCCAAGGAUCAUAGCUGGCAGUUUUAUCAAGCAUUCAAUACUGCCUAAAGUCUUCCCUCCCCCACCACUGCACAGACAUGCCAAUAGGCAGAAUUUUGGUCAGUGGGCCAGUGAGGUAGAACUUGUUGAGAGCUGUGUAUCUUAGGAAAUUUGGUGUGGGAAAUAGUGAGAAUUGGUUUGUAUCUGAAACAAAAGGAAGAGUAAAAAUAUUUUUUUUUGCCUACAAAUUUCAUAAAUUCAAAAUAAAAAAUAUUUUUUUGUCAGCAGGUGAUGAUAGUGCACACCGUUGAUCCCAGUAAUCAGGAGGCAGAGGCACAUGGGGAUCUCUGAGUUCAAGGCCAGCCUGGUCUACAAAUAAAGUUCCAGGACUGAUAGGGCGACACAGAGAAACCCUGUCUUAAACAAAACAAAACAAAACAAAAUAAAAUGUCAUUUGGUUUAUA
rnacentral:lncRNA from 1 species